GGAAGGGAAGAAAGACAGUGGGGAAAUCAACAAAAUGUGCAACACAAAAGGAGUCUAGAUUUUCGCGGGGUUUUGUCAACUUAGCAACAGCCAAACGCGAGGCGACGUCAUCACGUGACGCUCCGCCCCGCCCUUAGUCUCAGCCCUGCUGCGGUUUCCAGGAGCUCCGAUUUCUGGCCCAGGCAGGGGCGGCGGGGCACCGCGAAGGAGGGGGGAGGCCUGCCGUGCCUGCCCCGCCCCACACAAGCUGCCGCGCGCCGCUGCAACGGCCCCACCCACCGACAAACGAAGGGGAAGCGGAAAGAGCGGGAUCUCGCGUGGGAUGCGAGUGGGAACUUUGGAUGAUGAUGCCAAGGACUGUAAAAAUACCAAUAAAAUUACUCCAGUGUCCUGAUUGGUGGACUGAAGAUACAUUUUUUCAUACACUGGAAAAAAGCUUAAAUACCAAGCAAAUGACUUUAAAUCUUGCUGGAUGGAACUGCCACUCACCGCUAGAAAUCGGGGAUCGACAGCAAACUCUGGAUGACCCUGUAACCACAUCUCCAGUUCAGCCCGGCGAGGGGCAUCCUCACC